UACGUAGGUGGCAAGCGUUGUCCGGAUUUACUGGGCGUAAAGGGCUUGUAGGCGGUCCGUUAAGUCUGGUGUGAAAUCUCCCGGCUCAACUGGGAGGGGUCAUCGGAUACUGGCGGACUAGAGGUGGGUAGAGGAAAGCAGAAUUCCUGGUGUAGCGGUGAAAUGCGUAGAUAUCAGGAGGAAUACCAGUGGCGAAGGCGGCUUUCUGGGCCUAUCCUGACGCUGAGGAGCGAAAGCGUGGGGAGCAAACCGG
rnacentral:rRNA from 1 species